ensembl:lncRNA
GGCCAACUGGGACAGGGAGGACCCCAGUGAAAAAUGUGACCUGAUUACUGGAAACCUUUGUUCCCAGGAUGGGCCUUGGGAACCUGCCCAGUUGUGGACCCAGCUGUCAAUCAGCCCACCAGGGACCAAGGGAAGAUGAGAAGCACUGGGCCCUGCCCUGUUGCAGCAUUGACCCCAUUCAGGAAUGUGGACCUAGCCCUUUCAUACCUGAUUUUUCAGCUGAAGAAUAAGGACAUUUUUAUAAGUCCUGUAAGGGAGUUUCAUGAUGAUGUCCUUCCAAGGAAGAGUCGAUGGGAAACAGCAAUGAAUUGAGGGCAGCUGUAUGGAUGUGAGAGUUGGACUGUGAAGAAGGCUGAGCGCUGAAGAAUUGAUGCUUUUGAACUGUGGUGUUGGAGAAGACUCUUGAGAGUCCCUUGGACUGCAAGGAGAUCCAACCAGUCCAUUCUGAAGGAGAUCAGCCCUGGGAUUUCUUUGGAAGGAAUGAUGCUAAAGCUGAAACUCCAGUACUUUGGCCACCUCAUGCGAAGAGUUGACUCACUGGCAAAGACUCUGAUGCUGGGAGGGAUUGGGGGCAGGAGGAGAAGGGGACAACAGAGGAUGAGAUGGCUGGAUGGCAUCACUGACUCGAUGGACGUGAGUCUGAGUGAACUCCGGGAGCUGGUGAUGGACAGAGAGGCCUGGUGUACCGUGAUUCAUGGGGUCGCAAAGAGUCGGACACGACUGAGCGACUGAUCUGAUCUGAUCUGAUCUGAUGCCUCUUCAAAGAUUUGCUACUUUUUGAGACUUUCAAGCAUGAAAAUGGUUUAUCCUCCCCUCUCAUAAUUGAUGGGGAGGCCAAAUAGGACAGAGUGACAUAACCAGCAAACAGAGCACCUUAAGACAACACACCCGUUAAAGUAACGUAACGAUCAAGGAAACAAGACUGCAAGCAGCUUGGGAAAUGGAGAGCAAAAGAAUUAGCUUCAUCAAGCCAUCAUUCUAGAGCAGGCUUGUUGUUUGGUGUGGCUGCGUUUUUGUGUAGGAAUUGUACAUAGCUGCAAGUGUCAUCCACAUGCCCACACUCUAACCUCCUUUCUCCACCUAACAUGAUGUCAUGAGCAUUUUUCUGUGUUGCUACAUAGUCUGUAUAAUUACUCUAAAUGACUGUACAAUAUUCCACUCAUUAUACUACUGCUGAAUAUUUAGGUUCCUUUUUUUUUUCCUUUGCUCAAUUUUCAUGAAUUAACAAAUGUAAGGUGUUUCCACCCAAGCUUGCAAAACGUAGACACAGAGUAGAUGCUUUUUGUCUUUUCCAUCUCUCUCCUUCCUGUGUAUCUUUGUCCCUGGGCUUUUCCUUGAGAUAAGUGUUCCUUAGGGUUCAGGGGUAUGACUCUCCACACAUACUGCUACCAUAUUGUUCCAUUAAUUACAAUGACAAUUUGAGAAAGCAGAGGUCUGCAAGUUUAACUAAUCUGCCCAGGGUCCCUGUCUGUUCUGUUUUCUUCUUUUCCCCCCAAGGUCUGCUCCAGUGUCUGGUGCAUAGAACGACUUCAAUAAACAUUUGCUGAAUGAA